rnacentral:rRNA from 1 species
CACUUCUAAGGAAGGCAGCAGGCGCGCAAAUUACCCAAUCCUGACUCAGGGAGGUAGUGACAAGAAAUAACAAUAAACCGGCUUAUGCCGGUUUAAUUGGAAUGAGUACAAUUUAAACAUCUUAACGAGGAACAAUUGGAGGGCAAGUCUGGUGCCAGCAGCCGCGGUAAUUCCAGCUCCAAUAGCGUAUACUAAAGUUGUUGCAGUUAAAAAGCUCGUAGUUGGAUUUCUGUGGGGACGGAGCGGCCGGCCGCACAUCGCGGUUCGAGCUAGCGCUUUCCCUACAUCCUGCCGCGAACCGUGCUACCAUUAAUUUGGUGGCGCCGGGGAUCGGCUCGAUUACUUUGAGAAAAAUAGAGUGUUCAAAGCAGGCCACAUGCCUUGAAUAAGUUAGCAUGGAAUAAUAACUAAGGACUUCGGUUCUAUUUUGUUGGUGUUCGGGACUGAAGUAAUGAUUGAUAGGGACAGUUGGGGCGGUCUGUAUUCCAAAGCGAGAGGUGAAAUUCUUAGACCUUCGGAAGACAAACAGCUGCGAAAGCGUUCCGCAAGGAUGUUCCCUUUGAUCAAGAACGAAAGUUGGGGGAUCGAAGACGAUCAGAUACCGUCGUAGUCUCAACUAUAAACUAUACCAGCUAGGGAUCGGCCAACGUUAUUUCAUACCGACUUGGUCGGCACCUUAUGAGAAAUCAAAGCAUCUGGGUUCCGGGGGGAGUAUGGUCGCAAGGCUGAAACUUAAAGGAAUUGACGGAAGGGCACCACCAGCCGUGGAGCCUGUGGCUUAAUUUGACUCAACACGGGAAAACUUACCAGGUCCAGACAUAGUAAGGAUUGACAGAUUGAUAGCUCUUUCUUGAUUCUGUGGGUGGUGGUGCAUGGCCGUUCUUAGUUGGUGGAGUGAUUUGUCUGGUUAAUUCCGUUAACGAACGAGACCCCAGCCUGCUAAAUAGCGCGCGUGAGCUUUGCUCGCGGCGAGCUUCUUAGAGGGACUAUGAUGCGCGAUAGCACAUGGAAGUUUGGGGCAAUAACAGGUCUGUGAUGCCCUUAGAUGUUCUGGGCCGCACACGGGCUACACUGGCGCCUGCAACGAGCAUAUCAGCUGGCCCGAGAGGGUCUUGGCUAAUCUUUUGAACCGGCGCCGUGCUUGGGAUUGACCUUUGCAAUUGUUGGUCAUGCAACGAGGAAUGCCUUGUAAACGCGAGUCAUCAGCUCGCAUUGAAUACGUCCCUGCCCUUUGUACACACCGCCCGUCGCUCCUACCGAUGAAUGUUCCGAUGAAAUUUUCGGAGAGUGCCUGUGAACUUGGCUCUGCCUUGCGAACGGGAAGCUCAAAGUCACUUAAAUCUGAACAUUUCGAGG